rnacentral:piRNA from 1 species
UGGGAGGAGAAGCUGUUGGUCCUGCCAA